rnacentral:rRNA from 1 species
GACGAACGCUGGCGGCGUGCCUAACACAUGCAAGUCGAGCGGGGUUGAAGCGAGGGGUAACUCGAGUUUCUACCUAGCGGCGGACGGGUGAGUAACGCGUGGGCAACCUGCCUCAAGGACUGGGAUAACAGCUCGAAAGGGCUGCUAAUACCGGAUAAGCCCAUGGCCUCGCAUGGGGCCAUGAGCAAGGGGAAACCCGCCUUGAGAUGGGCCCGCGUCCCAUCAGCUAGUUGGUGAGGUGAAGGCUCACCAAGGCGACGACGGGUAGCCGGCCUGAGAGGGUGACCGGCCACACUGGGACUGAGACACGGCCCAGACUCCUACGGGGGGCAGCAGUGGGGGAUCUUGCACAAUGGGCGAAAGCCUGAUGCAGCGACGCCGCGUGAGCGAAGAAGGCCUUCGGGUUGUAAAAGCUUCUGUCUGGAGGGACGAAGGAAGUGACGGUACCUCCGGAGGAAGCCACGGCUAACUACGUG